UCAGCCGGCCGGGCGGCCGCGACUGCAGGUGCCGAAAGGCCGCAGUCGAGGAAAGUCCGGGCUCCAUGGAAACACGGUGCCGGGUAACGCCCGGCGGGGGAAACCCCAGGGAAAGCGCCACAGAAAGCAAACCGCCCCGCCACCCUUCCGGCCUGCCAGAGUGCAGGCGAUGAAGGCCUGAACGGCGGCGGGGCAAGGGUGAAAGGGUGGGGUAAGAGCCCACCGCGCGGGCAGCAAUGUCGGCGGCAUGGCAAGCCCCACCGGGAGCAAGACCGAAUAGGGAUGACGCGGCGAAAGCCGGGGCUGUUUCCGGCUCCAGUCAUCCGGGUAGGUUGCUCGAGGUGUCCGGCAACGGACAUCCCAGAGGAAUGGUCGCCACGUUCAUGCCCCUCGGGACAUGGGCCAUACAGAACCCGGCUUACAGGCCGGCUGACACC
rnacentral:RNase_P_RNA from 1 species